UACAGAGGUCUCAAGCGUUGUUCGGAUUCAUUGGGCGUAAAGGGUGCGUAGGCGGCGCGGUAAGUCGGGUGUGAAAUCUCGGGGCUUAACUCCGAAACUGCAUUCGAUACUGCCGUGCUUGAGGACUGGAGAGGAGACUGGAAUUUACGGUGUAGCGGUGAAAUGCGUAGAUAUGUGGAGGAACACCGAUGGCGAAGGCAGCUCGCUGGGACGUAACUGACGCUGAGACGCGAAAGCGUGGGGAGCGAACAGG
rnacentral:rRNA from 1 species